rnacentral:misc_RNA from 1 species
ACAGGGCCCAUGAGUUUCCCCUUUUCGUGUGUGUUACUUUGACAGAGGCGGGGGAGGGUGAAUCAAAAAUUGCAAGACGCUUCGGUUUUAGGUUUCAAUACAAUUUCCAGGUUGUUCGUGUUGCUGGCUGCAAGAUGCAUUCCAGACGUUCAGGGAGCCCAAAUAUGGACCCGCUUCAAGCCAUGAGGCGGAUGGACUUCCCUUACUGUGUCCAUGAAGCUCUGAAAAAGCUUGACCAGAUAGUACACCAGGAACCAACGCGACUGCGACCCAUUCAGCCGUUCGUACAGCUCCUUAUCAACGAGUUCAUCAUCUUUGACGGCACCGGUAACAGCAAGUUCAGGAGGAAUCUUAACAACGUACAGAACCUACAGCUGCUUGAGGUUCUGGGCGACUACUUCAGCCUGCCAAACUCGGAAGCAGCGCGCGUCAUGGCGUUCAUGGUGCUCUUCCAGCCGGUUCCAGGUCCGGAGGGGGCCGCCGGACGGCGCGUGUCGCUGCUGUGUAGACUUGUGUCGCUGGCUGUGUCCACUCGUAACAGCCAGGUGCUCUCCUGUGCCGGCGCCUGGUUACUGCAGCAGGGCUGCACAUCAGCCGCCGCACUGCGGCUGGCCGAGUCACUCCUGGAGGACCACCUGCUGCCCCUGCCCCCUCCUCCCUCCGACUCCGGAGAGGAGACGCCCGACCCUCCGGCGGCUGACAGUCUGCCGGAGCUGGCGCCCCUGUUCACUGCCGGGCUGCUGACGGCGCUGACACAUCUCUAUAGGGAUCUGCGCAGCCGACCGCCGCCGCCGGAGCUUAUUUCGCAGGUGCUCCGCUGGCUGGAAUCGAGUCCCUCCCUGCCUCUGGUCCCUCUCUCCGGGACCGGCCCCGUGCCUCUGCCCAGCUCCGCGCCACCGCCGGCCGCCGCCUGUCCCGCCGCUGGACUGAUGACGUGGUCGGUACUGUCGGCUGCCGUGGGACCGUCCCAGACGGUGAAAGGAAACGAUCAGAUGGCGAGACUGCACCUGCUGCUGCUCACGUGUCUACUGGAGGUGCCCCGGCUGCGCCCCCAGUCGGGCGGCCGUCCCGCCCUGCUCACCCACGGCCAGCUGACGCGACUGGUCACUGCGCUGGAGGCGGCGGGUCUCGGUGCCGACCAGCCCCCGGCGCCCCACCACCAGCUGGCGCUGGACAGAAUGGCACAGCUGUUCCAGGUGGCGCUGGCCGUCGAGGGACUCGGACAUAAUAAACGCGAGAGUCUACAGCAGCUAAGUCGACUACGGCAAACACCUCUCAUCCGUAUCGUGCUACAGCACAAUAGCUAACCAAAGCGCCCUCCCGACGGAUCUGUCGACCAGCCACAACUCAUCCACUUGGAGACUACGGUAUCGAAGAGGGAAAAAUCGUUUCUCAGCAUCACUUCAGCGACCAAAGCACCGUCUGUUGUCUUCAAGAGACCUAUGCGACCCUCAAAACUGCAGAUCUGGCCAAUUGAGAACAUGUGAAGUAAAGGAAGAGCAGUAAUGAGUGAGUUCCGCUGAUCUGGGCAAGCUGGUCAAGCAAACGACACUUCGGCGACAGCCCACGAGUUUCUGACCCUCGGUCUCAUAAAAACAUGUAACGGAAAUCCGUCCAUCUA